AGGGACAGUGGCACAGCAGGCAGGGCUGGGUGAGCAGCACAUCCAUCACCUGGACCAGCUCCAGCUCCCAGAGGCUGUCCUGGCCCCUCUCCCCCAGGAGCUAUGGGGAAUAACCUGAGCGUGCCAGAGGAAGCUGAGGAUGACAACACCUGCACAGUGAAGAGUUACCAGCCUCUCCCGGAGUCUCCCGAUGGUAUUACAAAUGGAUCUGUGGUGUUUGCUCAGAGCCCUCCCCUGGCAGUGAAUGGUGAAG
rnacentral:lncRNA from 1 species